UUAAAUUGUUGAUAAUGACUUUAUUUGUUGAUUCUACUUGCCCAUUACCCACCGGAUGGUAAAGUGUAGACAUAAUCCUUUUAGUCUACAAACUUUGAAAGAAUUCCAUGAUUUGAGCUUCUAUAAAUUGAGGGCCAUUAUUACACUUGAUCUCCUUUGGUACACCAAAUCGGCAUAUGAUAUUCCAUCAAAAGAAAUCUUUAACUUCCUUU
rnacentral:lncRNA from 1 species